rnacentral:rRNA from 1 species
AGCGAACGCUGGCGGCAGGCCUAACACAUGCAAGUCGAACGAAGUCUUCGGACUUAGUGGCGGACGGGUGAGUAACACGUGGGAACGUGCCCUUAGGUUCGGAAUAACUCAGGGAAACUCGUGCUAAUACCGAAUGUGCCCUUCGGGUGAAAGAUUUAUCGCCUUUAGAGCGGCCCGCGUCUGAUUAGCUAGUUGGUGAGGUAAAGGCUCACCAAGGCUACGAUCAGUAGCUGGUCUGAGAGGAUGACCAGCCACAUUGGGACUGAGACACGGCCCAAACUCCUACGGGAGGCAGCAGUGGGGAAUCUUGCGCAAUGGGCGAAAGCCUGACGCAGCCAUGCCGCGUGGAUGAUGAAGGUCUUAGGAUUGUAAAAUCCUUUCACCGGUGAAGAUAAUGACUGUAGCCGGAGAAGAAGCCCCGGCUAACUUCGUGCCAGCCGCCGCAGUAACAC